UUGCUUCCUCAGCAUAUAUAUACUAAACAGAAUGAUACAGAAAAGCUUAAUAUGACCACUGUACAAGGAUGGCAUGCAACUCUCUGAAGAAUUGUUUGAAUGU